rnacentral:ncRNA from 1 species
AUAUAAAUCAAACUCCGAUCCUUACGAUCUAAAUUUAUUGUUAUAGAUAUGAUCUUAAGGACUCAUAGCAUUCGUCAUUGCUAUAAGGGUUUAAUCAGAAAUGAUUAGGCCUCCCGUAUUUGGAAAGGUGUUUAUGCAACUUCAAG